CGAAAGCGAGUCUGAAUAGGGCGUGCAGUACGAUGAAUUAGACCCGAAACGAAGUGAUCUAGGUAUGGCCAGGUUGAAGGUGCAGUAACAUGCACUGGAGGACCGAACCCACGUCUGUUGAAAAAGACGGGGAUGAGCUGUGCCUAGGGGUGAAAGGCCAAUCAAACUCGGAAAUAGCUCGUACUCCCCGAAAUGCAUUUAGGU
rnacentral:rRNA from 1 species